UGCAGUGACGUUCUCCGUUCAAUGCACCAUGAGCCAGAGAUCAUGUUUGAGACCCUUAAGCACAGGAUUGAAGAGUAUGUUCAUGACGAAGACAAUAUGGGUGGAGCCACGGUCGCUGGUGGAAUCGCACAGUCUUUCCACAACAUGCCUUAUCUGACUAUAGGGUCUUCUUGCUGUCUAACUGCUGCAAAUGGCAAUAACGGAUACUAUUACUGUUCUGAUGAGGAUUUCACUGCCGGAGCUGAUGAAGUUGCCAGUGAGGAUGAUCAGUGGUCCUAUGUCUGUGCUUGAGAAAACCCAAUCUUUCUUUGGUUUGGUUUGGGUGUUUGUCACUGAGAGCUAAUAUUGUAUGCAUCAGCAUUCAGCUAGUCUCGGUUAAAUGCUACUCAAAUGGUCAGAUUUUACAUUUGAUUCGAACGAUUUGCCUCAUGCACGACUCUAAUCAGAUGAAAAAGGAGAGGGGAAAAGGGGGAAAUCGGAGUUGAAGGUUAAACCCUCCGAGCACUGUCAUAUGCAAUUCGAGGCCAACAACGCAAGAAUUAGAAGGAAUUGUAAAAGGAUUCCAGCGUGUAGAAAGGCAAAACUCUAUUGUGUAAACGAUAGUAUACACUUGUAUUUAUAGUGCAAUGAUAAUAAAUGCAAUAAGACAAACAUGUUUAUUGUUA